rnacentral:rRNA from 1 species
GGCGAACGGGUGAGUAACACGUGGGUGAUCUGCCCUGCACUUCGGGAUAAGCUUGGGAGACUGGGUCUAAUACCGGAUAGGAGCCAUCUUUAGUGUGGUGGUUGGAAAGUUUUUCGGUGUAGGAUGAGCUCGCGGCCUAUCAGCUUGUUGGUGGGGUAAUGGCCUACCAAGGCGGCGACGGGUAGCCGGCCUGAGAGGGUGUACGGCCACAUUGGGACUGAGAUACGGCCCAG